CUCUAAUUCUCACUCUCCCUCUUCCUCUUCGACUUCUCCUCUAGAAUUUCCAAAAUGGAGUAGUCGCACCAGCCACCACCACUUCCACCUAGCGACAGCGGCGAUGGACGACACCAGUCAAUGCCUCCUCACUAAGAGGCUCGGCAACGGCACCCUCUUCUCCUUUGACCACCUUCCCACGGUGUAGUUUCAUGACCCCUUUGAAGGCUUCGUCAUAGGGUUCGGAAACAGCAUCAAGGUCAUUGAAUGCGGAAGAGGAAAUAGAUCGCAUCUCGUUUUGGAGCAGUUGGAUAAGGUCACGCAAUAGAGACAGAGGAGGAUGAUAAAAAAAUAGAGAAUCUGCUGCUAGGUCUAGGGAACACAAAUAGGUUGGCCUCAAACCAAGUGGAUUUUUUUUCCUGAAGGAGAAUAUUGAUAGAUCCGGUGGAUCCUCUUACACACCAAGUGAAGCUAUGUGAUUUUGGAAGUGCAAAAGUUCUAGUCGAAGGUGAAGCAAAUAUAUCAUACAUAUGUUCACGAUUCUAUUGAGCACCAAAACUUAUAUUUGGAGCCAUAGAGUAUACAAGUUUGAUUGAUAUUUCGUCAGUUGGUUGUGUUCUUGCUUAACUUCUUUUGGGCCAGCCAUUAUUCCCUAGCAAAAAUGCAGUAGACCAGCUUGUACAUAUUAUAAAGGUGCUUGGCACACCCACCCAAGAGGAAGUAUGUUGUAUGAAUCCCAAUUACAAUGACUUUAGGUUUCCACAGAUAAAAGCACACCCAUGGCACAAGUUAAGGCACGGAAUAAUUGAAGAGCUAGCACAUAGAUAUAGCAAUGCAUUAGCUCCGAAGGGAAUCCGCAAAUUGCUAUAGUCCAGUGGAUCAGUAAAUGCCAUAGAAAAGAGACAACUCUUUGCCAUUAUGAUCCUCUAGAUUUGCUUGUUUAUUCUGCCAACCCAUGAAUCACUAUUUUUAUAUCACGAAGAAAUGCUUAUCCGAUUCAUAAUUCUGAAAAUGAUGCAUACAAUUGGUUCUCAUUCUCAAGAGAAUAGAACGACUCCAUCUGUUGUUGCUGCUUGCAUGGCACCCUUGCUCUUACAACCUCUACUAGCUAGAGAAUGUGAACUCGAGGAUGAAUUUGAUGCCUGUGGUGAUAGUUCGGCCCAGCUUCUUGCUUCUACUAAUAAUGCUCAAGCAAUUAUUACAACUUUGUUAGAGGAGUACGAGAAUAUAUCUGAUGUAAGAAACUCUCAAUCAAUUUGUAUUCUUUUGAUUAAUUGCUUUCUGGUUUGUGUAUGCUUACAAUUAGGAAAAGUAACUUAAGUUGUUGCAUAACCUUCAUUUAGGUUUUGUUUAGCUUGAGGUAUCAUGAUUACUCUCGAGCUCACCCCUUUUUUGUCCUUAUAUGAGAUUCUCUUGCUUGUAUCGAAGAUGCAAACUUACUAUGAAGUUUUGCCGUGGGAUUUUGAUUUUAAUCUGUUAA